AUCAGCACCCAGACCGGCAGGCUGAGCAGGCUCUGUGUGGGUGAGACAGCAGAACCGGUGGGGUAGUCAGCAGAAAGAUCUGGACACCCCAGCCUAGAUGUCCCGUCCCCGAGCCCUGACAUCAGCCCUCCUCUCUUUACUAAUGCAUGAUGCCUGAUAACAGAAAUGCGUUGUUUAAAAGAAUAAGAAAACUCAGCAUGCUGAAGGUAACACUUCACAAGCUCUGCUCCUGGGUCCAAGGUCAGGAGAGGGACCAGGGGCUUGAGAAGAGUCCAUUUGGAAAAGACUUAAAGUUCUCCAGAAACAGCAGUAAUGGUGAUGACAACUAACAUGACCCGGCGGUGACUUUACCAGAACCGGGCUCUUGCUGCUCCUGCUGCAGGGGGAGAAUGAGGCAGAGGGAUGACCUGGAAGAGGAGCCAAGCUCUUCACACGUUCCAUUAAACAAGUAUGGAUGGAAUCUUUUUUGGAUAAGUGCAAAGAAAUGCCUGAAGUGACCUCUCACUUAUGGAGACCUGAUUUUUGAUAACCUCCACAUCCCACAGCCUGUGAAUAAACCAAAAAAAGAGAAAAGCCA
rnacentral:lncRNA from 1 species